rnacentral:rRNA from 1 species
UACGUAGGGGGCAAGCGUUGUCCGGAAUUAUUGGGCGUAAAGCGCGCGCAGGCGGUACGGUAAGUCUGGUGUCUAAGACUGGGGCUCAACCCUGGAACGCACCGGAAACUGCCGAACUUGAGUGCAGGAGAGGAAAGUGGAAUUCCACGUGUAGCGGUGAAAUGCGUAGAGAUGUGGAGGAACACCAGUGGCGAAGGCGACUUUCUGGCCUGUAACUGACGCUGAGGCGCGAAAGCGUGGGGAGCAAACAGG